rnacentral:rRNA from 1 species
GACGAACGCUGGCGGCGUGCUUAACACAUGCAAGUCGAACGGAAAGGCCUUUUCGGAGGUACUCGAGUGGCGAACGGGUGAGUAACACGUGGGUGAUCUGCCCUGCACUCUGGGAUAAGCCUGGGAAACUGGGUCUAAUACCGGAUAGGACCGCACUUUAGUGUGUGUGGUGGAAAGUUUUUUCGGUGUAGGAUGAGCCCGCGGCCUAUCAGCUUGUUGGUGGGGUAAUGGCCUACCAAGGCGGCGACGGGUAGCCGGACUGAGAGGUUGGUCGGCCACAUUGGGACUGAGAGACGGCCCAGACUCCUACGGGAGGCAGCAGUGGGGAAUAUUGCACAAUGGGCGCAAGCCUGAUGCAGCGACGCCGCGGGGGGGAGGACGGCCUUCGGGUUGUAAACUCCUUUCGCCAGGGACGAAGCGUUUUGUGACGGUACCUGGAGAAGAAGCACCGGCUAACUACGUG